GUGCUGUGAUGUUAACAAUCAACACAUCAUUCUGAAAAGUUGUGUGGAAGAUUUCCGACUGAGCCCC